ensembl:lncRNA
GUAAUGAUGAGUCACUACAAUAAGCUGUCACGGCCUAAAAGACUUAAAGUGACUUCGCACAAGCAGGAAAAAGUCUACAAAGGUAUGUGAAGAAGCAUUUCAAACUCAGUAUCUGCAAUGCUCCGGUUCCCCAUGGACGCUGAUCAAAGAGGAGAAGAAUAUUGCCACCACCUCCUUCUGUUGCUCUGCCCCGUCUCUCCCCAACUCCUGUCCCCCUUCUACAGUCAGAUCAGAGACUGACAGCUUUUACAGAGCACUCCCCAUCCAUCUGGGCCUCGACGCCACAAUGCACAAAUCACAUCUAAGUAUAUCAGGACGAACUGCGCGAUGAAGGCUUUAUGUGACAAAUGGAAGUGGCUCUGUCUCACUGC